CUUUGUAGCCUAGAGACCUUGUUUCUCAGUUAAAAUUACAAAUUGGCUAGGACAAAGGGACACUGGCUAGCCACUUCAUUGAUCUGGCUUGCUACUGAAUUACUUUUUGGAGUCCAAUGACGUGGAUAAAAAACUGGUAGCCUGCUCAAUGCCAUGCAAGUUUGUGACAAGUAUUCGUAAAAUCAGAAAGAUGUCAUUGUAUUUUUGUAAAGAAGAGAGCGAGCGAGAAAUUUGAGUCUAACCACUUCAUUCUUACAUGCCUGCAGUCUAAAAAUCAAAUCUCCUUAUCGCUAACCACAUACAUUUUGCUCUGCUAGCUGCGCUUUCUUCAUUCUCUGGCCACCCAGGAAUUCCAUCCAUUUCGGGUACCAACCGAGGCGGAUGCUGGCUCAA
rnacentral:lncRNA from 1 species